AGAGUUUGAUCAUGGCUCAGGAUUAACGCUGGCGGUAUGCCUAACACAUGCAAGUCGAACGGAAUACUCGAAAAGAGAAUCUCACACUAGUGAGAGGUUCUCCAACCGAGUAUUUAGUGGCGGACGGGUGAGUAACACGUUGGAACCUGCCCCGAAGUGGGGAAUAACUGCUCGAAAGAGUAGCUAAUACCCCAUAGUAUCCGGUUUAUCCGGAUUAAAGAUUUAUCGCUUCGGGAGGGGCCUGCGUCUGAUUAGCUUGUUGGUGAGGUAAAAAGCUCACCAAGGCGACGAUCAGUAGCUGGUUCGAGAGGAUGACCAGCCACACUGGGACUGAGAUACGGCCCAGACUCCUACGGGAGGCAGCAGUGAGGAAUCUUCCACAAUGGACGAAAGUCUGAUGGAGCAAUACCGCGUGCAGGACGACGCUUUUCGGAGUGUAAACUGCUUUUGUCGUCGAAGAUUAUGACUGUAGACGAAGAAUAAGGACCGGCUAACUACGUG
rnacentral:rRNA from 1 species